AGCGCACAGGGUCUCGUGUCACAACGCAAGGGACUCUCUGCUCUGCCACACGCGUUCCACCUGCUGCAGAGGAAACGAUGCCAUGACUUUCCACUCGGAGGAAAGAGAAGAAGCCUCGGGAUGCUUUCCCACUCAGCGACUAUCCAAACAAGACGUGGAAAGCGGCGCGAGAGGAGAGAGGGGAGAGAUAAACUGUUCUUCUAUAGCCAUGUGGAAGCUCUCGGGGAUAGCCCUGUUAACCCAUGGUGACAGCUCUGGAGUCAUCAGUGAUUUAUAGUCUUUCCAAAAGACGGGGAGAGCUGCAGUUUCUGGAGGAAGAUGAGGAACUCCCCUCUGUGGCCAAAAUGUGAAGCACAGAAUCAUCUUGACACACAGAAAAAUGAUGCAAAAUCUGGUCAACUGUACUUUCAAUAAACUUAAGUCAAUUCAAACUC